UGGGCUCGACAACCGCGGGAUGUGCAAGCAAUUGCCAUCAUGAGGAAAGUCCGGGCUCCACAGGGCAGGAAGCCGGCUAACGGCCGGGCGGGGUAACCCGACGGAAAGCGCCGCAGAAAAGAAGACUCUCACUGGCGAUAAAGCGCUUCGCGCUGAUGCGCAAAGAGAAAAGCUGAAACGGUGGUGUAAGAGACUACCAGCGUCGUGGUAACACGGCGGCUUGGCAAGCCCCUUCCGGAGCAAACGCAAAUAGGAGCGCCAUGGUGUGGCCCGCACUGCGCUCGGGUUGCGCGCUUGAGACAAUCGGUGACGGUUGUUCUAGAUAAAUGGUUGUCCACGACAGAACCCGGCUUAUAGGCCCACCU
rnacentral:RNase_P_RNA from 1 species